CGAAACGAGCGUAGCUUCCUUGUCGUGUGGCCUCAGUCCUUCGCCGUCCCUCGCCGUCCUUCGCCAUCGCACGCCACCGCACCCCAUCUCUCGAAAUCUGCAGACAUCUUGAUUUUUCCCACGCUGUCUGUCAGGUCUCCGCCGCCACUCGACGCCAGGGCGCCGGGAGUGUCACAUGACUGCCGCCCCAUGUGUGUGAGAGGCGUCCUCUGGGAGAGCAUGGAUCCUGAGGUCCCAGGAUUGUCAGCUGACCUCUGUCCUGUGUGCCCAGUGGCCCCAGGUGACGUGUCUUCAAGAAGAGGCUGAGCUGCGGUGCUUGUAAGGUCUCAGCCUUAGAUCCAAGGACAGUCCAAGGAAGUCCUAAGACCAUGGAGUUGGUGAUCUGGGAUCUGGGUUUGCUGAUAUUUCUCACCGUGAAUCUCUUGGUGGUGUUUGUGGGCACGAGAGGGGCAGAGAAUGGAGAGUGAGGCUACCACAUGAAGCGUCACCAGAGCUGCUCCCUGCUGCCUGCUCAGAGCACCCCGGAUCCACUGUUCAAUCUGCACAAGAUUCGGGGUCCAGACAUGGGAGACUUCAGCUGCCUCAGAGGACCGUGGACAGGGAAGGCCAGCCUCGCAUCCCUCUGUCCAUGCCUGGAAUGACUUUAAUAACCAAGAGUUUUAUUUUUGAAUUUGUAGCUGUCGUUCACUUUUUACCCACCCAUUCAAUAAACCUUACAGAAUUGCUCCA
rnacentral:lncRNA from 1 species